AGUGUGGCUCAGUGUUAGAGCACUUGUCUAGCAUGUGGGAGACCCUAGGUUCCAUCCCUAGCACU
rnacentral:tRNA from 1 species